rnacentral:rRNA from 1 species
CGCGUAGGCGGGUCAGCAAGUCCGGGGUGAAAUCUUUCGGCUCAACCGGAAAAGUGCCUCGGAUACUGCUGGUCUUGAGGGAGGUAGGGGUUUGUGGAACUUCUGGUGGAGCGGUGAAAUGCGUUGAUAUCAGAAGGAACGCCGGUGGCGAAAGCGACGAACUGGACCUCUUCUGACGCUGAGGCGCGAAAGCUAGGGGAAGGCAAACG